AGAUGUGAGGGUGAUCUGGCUGCAACAUCUGUCACCCCACUGAUUGCCAGGACUGAUUCACCUAAUCUGUCUAGCUAGGCAUGUAUCCCCUUCCUCCCUCACAGAUCCAAGAGGAUGACCUUGAUUAGGAUGACCUUUUCCUUUAGAGAACUGCUUUUCCCAUCAAGAGUAUACAAGAGCACCCCAGCUAGAACAUCCAAACAAGAUCUCAAGGUCAGGUUGCAGAGAUGGUUCAUUGGUUAAAAGGCAGUGGCCACUCUUG
rnacentral:snRNA from 1 species